rnacentral:lncRNA from 1 species
AGAACUAGUUUAAGGUUUAGGGUGAGGCAUUGGGUUAGGGUUAGUUUUAGAGAUAGGUUUUGAUCUGGAGUUAGCACUAGGUCUAAGGAUAGUGCAAGGGUUAUGACUGGGGUUAGAGCUUGGGUUAGGGUUACCAUAAUGGAUAGAGUUAAAAGUUGGAAUAAGUCUUAUAUGAGAAUUAUAGUUAGUCUUAAUUCUAGGGUUAGGAUUAGGGUUAGGAAUAUGGCUAAAUUUCGGCUUGGAUAAGGGCUAGUUUUAUUGUUAGUGUUAGGGCUAGAGUUAGGAUUAUGGUUAGGGCUAUGGCUAGUUUUAGUGUUAGGGUAAGGGUUAGGGAUUAAGCUUUGGUUAGGGCUAGGGUGAGUGUUAGGUUUAGUGUUAGGUCUGGGUUAGGUUUAGGGUUAUGGUUGAGGUUAGGGCUAGGGUCUUCUUUAGGGUAAGGGUUAGUUUUAGAGUAAUGUAUUGGAUUAGAUGUAAGAUUAGAUUUAGGGUUAAGUUUAGAUUAUGGUUGAAUUUAGGUUUAGGGAUAGGUUUAGUUUUGAUUUAUGGUAAAGGUUAUGGUUAAGUUUAUGGCAAGGUUUAGGUUUAGGGUUAGGUCGAG